rnacentral:rRNA from 1 species
UACGGGAGGCAGCAGUGGGGAAUAUUGCACAAUGGGCGCAAGCCUGAUGCAGCCAUGCCGCGUGUGUGAAGAAGGCCUUCGGGUUGUAAAGCACUUUCAGCGAGGAGGAAGGCGUUAAGGUUAAUAACCUUAGCGAUUGACGUUACUCGCAGAAGAAGCACCGGCUAACUCCGUGCCAGCAGCCGCGGUAAUACGGAGGGUGCAAGCGUUAAUCGGAAUUACUGGGCGUAAAGCGCACGCAGGCGGUUUGUUAAGUCAGAUGUGAAAUCCCCGAGCUUAACUUGGAACUGCAUUUUGAAACUGGCAAGCUAGAGUCUUGUAGAGGGGGUAGAAUUCCAGGUGUAAGCGGUGAAAUGCGUAGAGAUCUGGAGGAAUACCGGUGGCGAAGUCGGCCCCUGGACAAAGACUGACGCUCAGGUGCGAAAGCGUGGGGAGCAAACAGGGAUUAGGAUACC